UCCUCCGGUAUCGAACCGCCGACCAACCACCCAGUCGCGCACCACUGCACGGCUGCACUUCCUCUUGUUCUUCUCCUUGCGUCACUUCACGUUGAAAUAAUCAGGAACCAAAUUCCAAUUUGGUUGGAACUUUGGUUUCCUAAUUCAAAGCAGCCCAUUCUAUUUAUUUGAUGGCCCACUAGCCCACUACCUAUUUUAGAAAUCGAACUUCGGAGCUCAGGAAGAACGGUCCAUCGAACAGGAAGUAUAAACUACGGUUGAGGUACGAAGAAGAUCAGGGGAUGCCUUAGAGUGAGGAUGCAACCAUCAAAUUCACGAUCGAUGCUUAAUAAAGAUAAUCAUGUAUCACUAGUAAUAAUGGAUGAACAAAUUAAACUCUAAGUCAAAUUUCAAUUAUUGAGUUGGAUUUUAAUAUUUAUGUUUAAUCAAUGUUAUGAAUAUUUAUUAAAUUUCAUUUAGAUUUCGAUGUAAAUAUUAAAGAAUUAAUCGAAGUGAAGUAUAAUUACUGUUACUCAUCAGUAGUCAGUAAAUGUAAAAAGGUUAUGUCGCCUUGUAUUUCCCACGAGGGAAAUACGGCAUGUGACGCUCCGACUAAAUUAGGGUUUCCGCUGCUAAUUAAAGAUAAUUAACCUAAUUAAUGGUGUUUAGAA